CCUACGGGAGACAGCAGUAGGGAAUUUUCGUCAAUGGGCGCAAGCCUGAACGAGCAAUGCCGCGUGAACGAGGAAGGUCUUCGGAUCGUAAAGUUCUGUUGAAGGGGAAAAAGAGCGGAGAGAGGAAAUGGUCUCCGAUUGAUAUUACCCUUCGAGGAAGUCACGGCUAACUACGUGCCAGCAGCCGCGGUAAUACGUAGGUGGCGAGCGUUAGCCGGAAUGAUUGGGCGAAAGGGGUGCGUAGGCGGCCUGCUAAGUCUGGAGUGAAAGGUACCGGCUCAACCGGUAGAGGCCCUGGAAACUGGCGGGCUAGAGAGUAGGAGAGGGCGGUGGAACUCCAUGUGUAGUGGUAAAAUGCGUAGAUAUAUGGAAGAACACCAGUGGCGAAGGCGGCCGCCUGGCCUGUUACUGACGCUGAGGCACGAAAGCGUGGGGAGCAAAUAGGAUUAGAUACCCCGGUAGUC
rnacentral:rRNA from 1 species